UGCACGUGUGCUGUCUCUGUUGAGGACACCUUUCCCAAUUUCCGCCUCAUCCUAUGGGACUCAGCUCACACCAGAAGUCCCUUCUGCAAAGCUCUCCUUACCUGCGGUUGAGCAAAGUGGCUUUUCCGACAGCUGACACAGACAGUGUUUUCUUGGCUUCUGAAGGAGGUUUGCUCAUUCGAAACUGUGGGGACUGAGCUGAGGAAAGCAACGGGACCUCUCCCCUGGGCGGACGCUGCCGGCGUGAUGUCUUGGAGAUGACAUUUUAGUCCAGGAGGGCAAGAGUGGAGAAAAUGAAAUGAGCUGAAGAGUGCGUAUGAAAUUUAUUUUAUUCAAGUGAAGAUUUAUGCUGGCAGAUUUCAUUCCGGCUGACAUUGACCUUUUCGGAUGAGAUGAGAGUUUCUGCGGGUCAGGACUCUGGGAGCAGCCUCACUAUGCUGUUCUGGCUCAGGAUCUCCAAUGAAGCUGUGGUCAAGAUGUCGGCUGGGCUUAGUCAUCUGAAGGCUCGACUGGGGUGGAGGGUCUGCUCCCAAGAUGGCACACUCCAUGCCUGUUAGCUGGAGGCCUCAUCUCCUCCCAGUGUGAGCCUCUCCACUGGGCUGCUUGAGUGUCCUUGAGACAGGCCACUGCUUCCACCAGAGCAAGCAACCCAAGGGAAAGGGAGACAGAGGCCACAGUGGCCCUCAUACUCCAGCCUCCAGUGUGAUCUCCCACCAUUCCUCCUGGGUUCUGCUGGUUACACACAUAAUCUUGGUCCGUUCAGGCUGCUAUGACAAAAUACCACAAACUGGGUGGCUUAUCAACAACAGAAACCUGCUUCCCUCAGUUCUGGAGGCUGGGGAGUCCAAGAUCAAGGUGCCAGCAUGGUCACGUUCCCGUGAGGGCUUUCUGCUGCGUUCAUUGCUGACACCUCACUGUGUCCUCACAUGGUGGAAGGGGCGGAAGUCUCUGUGAGGUCUCUUUUAUAAGAACACUAAUCUCAUUCAUGAGGGCUCCAUCCUCCUGACCUAGGCACCACUCAAAGGCCCCAUCUCCUAACACCACCGCGUUGGGCAAUAGGAUUUCAGCAUAUGAAUUUUAGGGGGACACAAACAUUCAGAGCACAGCACAGACCAACCCUGACACAAUGUGGGAGGGGACUAUAGAGGGGUGUGAAUACCAUGAGGUGGGAUCAUUGGGACUAUCUUGGAGACUGGCUGCCACGAAGUGGCAGGUGGCUGAGCAUUAGCCUCGCCCCUCUGCCAUUUCACCUGAAUUCUGCUGGGAAAAAGGGGCCAUGUCCAAAGGCUGUUAUCUUAAACUCCUGCCCGACAGUCUGAAGGCACAGGAAGUCAGACUCAGGGUAAUUUUCAAGUCCAGCCAAUGCAUUUUUAUUAGACACUGAAUUAGUUGGCUGACUGCAUUGUCUAACCCCGGAACAAGCAUCUACAUAAAGGAGGCCAUGAAGUGGCUCUACUUACUACGUCCUUAGUGCCAAGUGUCACCAGGUCACGGGGCAUGGGUUGUCUUAGAGAAAGAUAAGCGGAAAGCAAUAGAUUGUGAUGUAUAAUCAAGCAGUGGAAAGUGCAACACAGACUAAAUGUGGAGGAAUUUAGGGCUUCCUGCUGGUUAGCA
rnacentral:lncRNA from 1 species